ACACAGCCCCAAGAUGGGAAAACACCUCCGUGCUUCUCCAGUACUGCACCCACACUAAAUACAGCAGAACCUGGGUUCGCAUUGUUGUGGGGGAAGCGGAGCUAUAAGUAGCCCCCUGAGGCUUGUUGUCCUAAUGAAUACCAGACCACAAAUUAAUGAACACCUACCAGCCUGGGAUUGUCACUCAUCACAAAGAAAGGGUGCUUCCUUUGCUGCAGGAGACAGGCGAGCGAUCGGGAAUCUAUUGCGAGUAAGCUCAGCUGUCCAGAGAAGGGGCCCAGAGAGCAGAAUUUUAAACACCUGAAAGAACAUGUAGGAGCCCAAAGGAAUUUACAGAAGUCCAACUGAAAUACAUCCCAAGAAACCUCUACAAUUUGGUCAUAUACAAAGAAGCCGAGUUAUGCAAAGCUGAAAUGGAGCCUUGCCCUAGUUUAAAGCAUCCAUAGGUCCCUAGAAUAUCUGUGGCUGCAGGCUCAAUAAAAAAAUAGUCAUUAACAAAGAAAGCAAAACGUUUAAAAUUGCAUGAGACAACUGGGAGUUCUUAAGAACAGUGCUUGCCAGUAGUGUCGUGCUUUUCAAAGCACCAUGCAAAAAUUAAUUAAUUAGUACAUAGAUAAGCCUCCUUGUUCAAAUGUACCAUGACUGUUCAAUAUAUAUGGACCAAUACGUUCAACAUAUCUUAGGAAUGUCCGUCACUUUGUUCUAAAAUUCCAGAAGGUGAGAGAAGUACCAUUUACCAAAUACUGUUCACCUGAGGCUUUCAAAACCUGCCUUACCUUCAGGGAAUUUCCUAUCUUGAAUGGCAAGUUCCCUCCUUGAAGAGCAGGUGUAAUUUCUGAAAGUUCUUGAGACAAAUAAACUAGGAAACAUUUAUCAUUAUGAUUGCACUUGCUGUACCUGCACCCACUACUGCCACAGACUGACUGUAAAGCUGCAGUGUGUCUGACACCGGGUGGAAGGUAAUUUGGUGCAACAUAGAAAAUGGAGGCAUAAAAACCUGUCUCUAACCAGGUUUUUUUGUUAAAGAUAGCCUAGCCAGAAUUGUGUUUUGUGGAAACCCGGCAAUCAGGUUUGCAGAGCAAGAACAAAAAUGUGCUUGGAUCCAGACAUCAUUUGAUCUAAACUACCCACAUUCAGAAGGAUUCAGGCUCUCAGUUUAGUCUAUUUGUAUUUAAUACCAGUUUCAUACUCACUCUAUUGUCAACAUACCAUAUUGAAAAAGUAUAUCAGCCUCAAUGCCCCACCCAAAUCAUGACAUUAGUUUAAAA